rnacentral:pre_miRNA from 1 species
AAUGUACUCCCUCCGUCCGGAAAUACUUGUCAUAAGAAUGGAUGUAUUUAGAUAUAUUUUAGUUUUAGAUACAUCAUUUUUUAUCCAUUUGUGCGACAAGUAAUUCCAGACGGAGGGAGUAACAA